rnacentral:sRNA from 1 species
AGCGCGCGCAGGGGCUGCGGAGCGGCAGGAUGCAGGAGGAGCUGGCGUGGGAGACCGACGGCCGCUGGAGUGCAGUGGCAUGAUCUCGGCUCACUGCAACCUCCAGCUCCCAGGUUGAAGCAAUUCUCCUGCCUCAGCCUUCCGAGUAGCUGGGACUACAGUGCUUCCUCUGGAGAGGCAGCUCCACGAGGCCGCCCGCCAGAACAAUGUCGGCAGGAUGCAGGAGCUGAUUGGGAGGAGGGUUAACACCAGGGCCAGAAACCACGUGGGCAGGGUGGCCCUGCACUGGGCUGCAGGUGCAGGGCACGAGCAGGCUGUGCGUCUGCUUCUGGAGCACGAGGCUGCUGUGGACGAGGAGGAUGCGGUAGGGGCCCUCACAGAGGCACGUCUGUGUGCCCUUGGUCCUCUCCUUGCCUUGGCCCCAGCCUCUGCUUCCCUCCUCUCUCCAGUGCUGUCCUUGUCUGCACCACCCCCCUCCUGCCUCCAAAUUCCCGCCUGUUUCUAAAGCAAAGCAGUGCAACUCUCUUUGGAUGCUCGGGAGCCUGCUGAUCAUUUGGGAUGAACGCGCUUCUCCUGUCUGCCUGGUUCGGCCACUUACGAAUCCUCCAGAUCUUGGUAAACUCAGGGGCCAAGAUCCACUGUGAGAGCAAGGAUGGCCUGACCUUACUGCACUGCGCAGCCCAAAAAGGCCAUGUGCCUGUGCUGGCGUUCAUAAUGGAGGACCUGGAGGAUGUGGCCCUGGACCACGUAGACAAGCUGGGGAGGACGGCGUUUCACAGGGCAGCUGAGCACGGGCAGCUGGAUGCUCUGGACUUCCUCGUGGGCUCUGGCUGUGACCACAGUGUCAAAGACAAGGAGGGGAACACGGCCCUUCAUCUGGCUGCUGGUCGGGGCCAUAUGGCUGUGCUGCAGCGACUUGUGGACAUCGGGCUGGACCUGGAGGAGCAGAAUGCGGAAGGUCUGACUGCCCUGCAUUCGGCUGCUGGAGGAUCCCACCCUGACUGUGUGCAGCUCCUCCUCAGGGCUGGGAGCACCGUGAAUGCCCUCACCCAGGUAGCCAGGCCCUCCCAAGACUGCGGUCGGCUCUUGGCUGCUGAGCCAUAGCCAUGUCGGCAGUAACGGCCACAGGGAUUCCUGAACCCUGAGUGAAUAGAGGCUUCGAGGCAGCAGGCAAGGUUCUGAUCUUGGCUUCUCCACUGCUGAGCCCUGUGACCUGGAGCAAGUUACUUAACCUCUCUGAGCCUUGUUUCCCAACUAUAAAGUGCAGUGACAUUUACUUUUUUACAUUGUUGUGAGGAUUAAAUACCUAACACAGUGCCCAGGACAUAAUAGGGCCCAACACCUCAAUACCUGUUAGUGUUUUUUUUGUUUUAUUUUUUUUGAGAUGGGUCUUACUCUGUCGCCCAGGUUGAAGUGCAAUGGUGCGAUCUUGGCUCACUGUAACCUCCGCCUCCUGGGUUCAAGCAGUUUUCCUGACUCAGCCUCCCAAGAGGCUGGGACUACAGGCGUGUGCCACUACCCCCGGCUCAUUUUUGUAUUUUUUGGGUAGAGACAGGGUUUCACCAUGUUGGCCACGCUGGUCUUGAACUCCUGACCUCAAGUGAUCCGCCUGCCUCAGCCUUCCAAAGUGUUGGGAUUAUAGGCGGGAGCCAUUGCACCUGGCCCUAUUAGUGUCUUCUAUUUGUUGAGCUCUUGAUCGUUCACAAAGCCGCUUCAUAACUGUUACCUCAGAAAAAUUCCACCCAUUUUGCAGAUGAGAAAACUGGAGCUUUGAGGGCACUUUCUCAGGGUCACAAGCUAGUACGAGGCAAAGCUGAGUCUCAAAAGCCUUUUCCCCUGACUCCAGAGCUCCCACCCACUGAUGAAGCUUUUCCCCUGACAGAGCUGGGGCUUGAGGUGUGACCCUGGAUGAACCUCUUCUCUCUCUCCCCGUUGUACUCAUCAAUUCUGCCAGUAAAAAUUCUCCUCUAUGACCUGGAAAGUGGGGUUGUGGCCUUUCUUUAGGUAGUGAGUUGGUGUUUUUGCUUUGCUUUUUAUUUUUGAAUCAGUGACAAAUAACCUUUCUGGCUGGUUGAAUGGCUUCAGGUUCUGGAAUUCUUGCUUUGUUCUAAAUGUCAAUAGUAUAGCAAAAAUAUUAAUAAUAAAUAAUACAAUAUAAAUAAUAAUAGCAAAAACACACAGGCAGUUCAAAAACAGAGAAUUAAAAUGUUAUGCUAAAAAAUA